UACGUAGGGUGCAAGCGUUAAUCGGAAUUACUGGGCGUAAAGCGUGCGCAGGCGGUUUUGUAAGUCUGUCGUGAAAUCCCCCGGGCUCAACCUGGGAAUUGCGAUGGAGACUGCAAGGCUAGAAUCUGGCAGAGGGGGGUAGAAUUCCACGUGUAGCAGUGAAAUGCGUAGAGAUGUGGAGGAACACCGAUGGCGAAGGCAGCCCCCCUGGGUCAAGAUUGACGCUCAUGCACGAAAGCGUGGGGAGCAAACGAGGAUUAGAAACCCGGUG
rnacentral:rRNA from 1 species